rnacentral:tRNA from 1 species
GCUUUGAUAGCUCAGUUGGGAGAAGCGUCAGACUGAAGAUCUGAAGGUCCCCUGGUUCGAUCCCGGGGUCCAAAGCA